GAUGAACGCUGGCGGCGUGCUUAACACAUGCAAGUCGAACGAAGCACUUUAUUUGAUUUUCUUCGGAAAUGAAGAUUUUGUGACUGAGUGGCGGACGGGUGAGUAACGCGUGGGUAACCUGCCUCAUACAGGGGGAUAACAGUUGGAAACGACUGCUAAUACCGCAUAAGCGCACAGGAUUGCAUGAUCCGGUGUGAAAAACUCCGGUGGUAUGAGAUGGACCCGCGUCUGAUUAGCCAGUUGGCAGGGUAACGGCCUACCAAAGCGACGAUCAGUAGCCGACCUGAGAGGGUGACCGGCCACAUUGGGACUGAGACACGGCCCAAACUCCUACGGGAGGCAGCAGUGGGGAAUAUUGCACAAUGGGGGAAACCCUGAUGCAGCGACGCCGCGUGAGCGAAGAAGUAUUUCGGUAUGUAAAGCUCUAUCAGCAGGGAAGAAGAAUGACGGUACCUGACUAAGAAGCACCGGC
rnacentral:rRNA from 1 species